rnacentral:rRNA from 1 species
UACGAAGGGUGCAAGCGUUACUCGGAAUUACUGGGCGUAAAGCGUGCGUAGGUGGUUCGUUAAGUCUGAUGUGAAAGCCCUGGGCUCAACCUGGGAAUGGCAUUGGAUACUGGCGAUCUAGAGUGCGGUAGAGGGGUGUGGAAUUCCCGGUGUAGCAGUGAAAUGCGUAGAUAUCGGGAGGAACAUCUGUGGCGAAGGCGACACCCUGGACCAGCACUGACACUGAGGCACGAAAGCGUGGGGAGCAAACAGG